rnacentral:rRNA from 1 species
AGUGAACGCUGGCGGUAGGCCUAACACAUGCCAGUCGAACGGCAGCACAGUAAGAGCUUGCUCUUACGGGUGGCGAGUGGCGGACGGGUGAGGAAUACAUCGGAAUCUACUUUUUCGUGGGGGAUAACGUAGGGAAACUUACGCUAAUACCGCAUACGACCUACGGGUGAAAGCAGGGGAUCUUCGGACCUUGCGCGAUUGAAUGAGCCGAUGUCGGAUUAGCUAGUUGGCGGGGUAAAGGCCCACCAAGGCGACGAUCCGUAGCUGGUCUGAGAGGAUGAUCAGCCACACUGGAACUGAGACACGGUCCAGACUCCUACGGGAGGCAGCAGUGGGGAAUAUUGGACAAUGGGCGCAAGCCUGAUCCAGCCAUACCGCGUGGGUGAAGAAGGCCUUCGGGUUGAAAAGCCCUUUUGUUGGGAAAGAAAAGCAGCAGGUUAAUACCCCGCUGUUCUGACGGUACCCAAAGAAUAAGCACCGGCUAACUUCGUG